UACGAAGGGUGCAAGCGUUACUCGGAAUUACUGGGCGUAAAGCGUGCGCAGGCGGUGAUGUAAGACAGGUGUGAAAUCCCCGGGCUUAACCUGGGAACUGCAUUUGUGACUGCAUCGCUGGAGUGCGGCAGAGGGGGAUGGAAUUCCGCGUGUAGCAGUGAAAUGCGUAGAUAUGCGGAGGAACACCGAUGGCGAAGGCAAUCCCCUGGGCCUGCACUGACGCUCAUGCACGAAAGCGUGGGGAGCAAACAGG
rnacentral:rRNA from 1 species